GGGCAAUAUACUGUGCAGCACGAGGUAUGUCGUAUCUGAGCACGGAGUCCUGGGCCUAUUCAAUUCACGUCGUUGUUCACUCGCUCUUCGAGUAGAGAACAGGUGACGUCGCGUUUCGCGGGGGCUGAGGAUUACCACUAUGCGGUAUUUCCAUCAAUGAGGUAUCUCGUCAAGAAUCACGAUCCGCAUGAUCUCUCGAAUAAGAUUCAACUCGUUGUACGCGUUCUUUCCCAUCAGGGUUACACCGGCAGCUAC
rnacentral:misc_RNA from 1 species